rnacentral:rRNA from 1 species
CUUGUUGGGGUUGUAGGACUCCAAUAUGGUAGUCUGUUAGUAUAGUUGAAGGAUUUGGAAAAUUCCGCUAAAGAGGGUGAAAGCCCCGUAGACGAAAUGCUAACAACACCUAGGAGGAUCCUGAGUACGGCGGAACACGAGAAAUUCCGUCGGAAUCCGCGGGGACCAUCCCGCAAGGCUAAAUACUCCCUAGUGACCGAUAGUGAACCAGUACCGUGAGGGAAAGGUGAAAAGCACCCCGGAAGGGGAGUGAAAUAGAUCCUGAAACCGUGUGCCUACAACAAGUCAAAGCUCGUUAAUGAGUGAUGGCGUGCCUUUUGUAGAAUGAACCGGCGAGUUACGAUUGCAUGCGAGGUUAAGUCGAAGAGACGGAGCCGUAGCGAAAGCGAGUCUGAAUAGGGCGAAUGAGUAUGUAGUCGUAGACCCGAAACCAUGUGAUCUACCCAUGUCCAGGUUGAAGGUGCGGUAAAACGCACUGGAGGACCGAACCCACGUACGUUGAAAAGUGCGGGGAUGAGGUGUGGGUAGCGGAGAAAUUCCAAACGAACUUGGAGAUAGCUGGUUCUCUCCGAAAUAGCUUUAGGGCUAGCCUCGGAAUUGAGAAUGAUGGAGGUAGAGCACUGUUUGGACUAGGGGCCCAUCUCGGGUUACCGAAUUCAGAUAAACUCCGAAUGCCAUUCAUUUAUAUCCGGGAGUCAGACUGCGAGUGAUAAGAUCCGUAGUCGAAAGGGAAACAGCCCAGACCACCAGCUAAGGUCCCAAAAUAUAUGUUAAGUGGAAAAGGAUGUGGGGUUGCACAGACAACUAGGAUGUUGGCUUAGAAGCAGCCACCAUUUAAAGAGUGCGUAAUAGCUCACUAGUCGAGUGACCCUGCGCCGAAAAUGUACCGGGGCUAAACAUAUUACCGAAGCUGUGGACUACACCAUUAGGUGUAGUGGUAGGAGAGCGUUCUAAGGGCGUUGAAGGUCGAUCGUGAGGACGGCUGGAGCGCUUAGAAGUGAGAAUGCCGGUAUGAGUAGCGAAAGACAGGUGAGAAUCCUGUCCACCGUAUGACUAAGGUUUCCUGGGGAAGGCUCGUCCGCCCAGGGUUAGUCGGGACCUAAGCCGAGGCCGAUAGGCGUAGGCGAUGGACAACAGGUUGAUAUUCCUGUACCAGUUGUUUUUGUUUGAGCAAUGGAGGGACGCAGUAGGCUAAGGAAUGCAUGCGAUUGGAAGUGCAUGUCCAAGCAAUGAGUCUUGAGUAGAGUUAAAUGCUUUACUCUUUAAGGACAAGUUGUGACGGGGAGCGAAAUAAUAGUAGCGAAGUUCCUGAUGUCACACUGCCAAGAAAAGCUUCUAGUGAGAAAACAACUGCCCGUACCGUAAACCGACACAGGUAGUCGAGGAGAGUAUCCUAAGGUGAGCGAGCGAACUCUCGUUAAGGAACUCGGCAAAAUGACCCCGUAACUUCGGGAGAAGGGGUGCUGACUUCGGUCAGCCGCAGUGAAUAGGCCCAAGCGACUGUUUAUCAAAAACACAGGUCUCUGCAAAAUCGUAAGAUGAAGUAUAGGGGCUGACGCCUGCCCGGUGCUGGAAGGUUAAGAGGAUGGGUUAGCUUCGGCGAAGCUCAGAAUUGAAGCCCCAGUAAACGGCGGCCGUAACUAUAACGGUCCUAAGGUAGCGAAAUUCCUUGUCGGGUAAGUUCCGACCCGCACGAAAGGCGUAACGAUUUGGGCACUGUCUCAACGAGAGACUCGGUGAAAUUUUAGUACCUGUGAAGAUGCAGGUUACCCGCGACAGGACGGAAAGACCCCAUGGAGCUUUACUGUAGUUUGAUAUUGAGUGUUUGUACCACAUGUACAGGAUAGGUAGGAGCCGAUGAGACCGGAACGCUAGUUUCGGAGGAGGCGCUGGUGGGAUACUACCCUUGUGUUAUGAACCCUCUAACCCGCACCACUAAUCGUGGUGGGAGACAGUGUCAGAUGGGCAGUUUGACUGGGGCGGUCGCCUCCUAAAAGGUAACGGAGGCGCCCAAAGGUUCCCUCAGAAUGGUUGGAAAUCAUUCGAAGAGUGUAAAGGCAGAAGGGAGCUUGACUGCGAGACCUACAAGUCGAGCAGGGACGAAAGUCGGGCUUAGUGAUCCGGUGGUUCCGCAUGGAAGGGCCAUCGCUCAACGGAUAAAAGCUA